GCUGCUUCUCUGUCUUUUGGCUAAAAUCAACAGUAGUGUCUGUUCUUAUCAGUUUAAUAUCUGAUACAUCCUCUAUAUGAGGGUUAUAUAUUAAAUAGAUUUUUAGAACAGGGAGAUGGAAGAGUAGCUUGCUACGUCUGCUCCUUGCAUCGACCUGGUAUUGCAGUACCUCCAGGAAUGUUGCACCUCCU
ensembl:snRNA U2 U2 spliceosomal RNA